rnacentral:rRNA from 1 species
GACGAACGCUGGCGGCGUGCUUAACACAUGCAAGUCGAGCGGUAAGGCCCUUUCGGGGGUACACGAGCGGCGAACGGGUGAGUAACACGUGGGUGACCUGCCCUCAGCUCUGGGAUAAGCCUGGGAAACCGGGUCCAAUACCGGAUAUGACUCCAUGACGCAUGUUGUGGGGUGGAAAGCCUUGUGCGGCUGAGGAUGGGCCCGCGGCCUAUCAGCUUGUUGGUGGGGUGANGGCCUACCAAGGCGACGACGGGUAGCCGGCCUGAGAGGGCGACCGGCCACACUGGGACUGAGGCACGGCCCAGACUCCUACGGGAGGCAGCAGUGGGGAAUCUUGCGCAAUGGGCGAAAGCCUGACGCAGCGACGCCGCGUGAGGGAUGACGGCCUGG